AACUAGGGAGCUUGUAACAGCACUUGACUUUUAAUCAAGAGAUAAUAUCCAUAUUUCUAGUUA
rnacentral:tRNA from 1 species